GAUUGCAAAAUGUCAAUCAAGGAGGAGGAAGCAGGCCAGCAGCAGGAGUCAUCCCAGUGGGUCCGAUACAAGGAGGAGCCGUCCGAGGGGGGCCCGUACAAGGAGGAGCCGUCCGAGGGGGCCCGUCCCAGGAGGAACAGCAGGUGAAGAAGAGGCUGCGGAAGAGACGUGGUGGUCGCCACGUGAAAAAAAGAGCUCGCAUUUCUGAUGAGGAAUCUCGCUCUAGUGUGCCUCCACCAGGUAGGGCAGCUGCUCUUCCCCUAAGCUCCCAUGGAGCCCACGAAAUGGUGGUCAUUUUGGAGGGAAUAACGGCAAUUCUUCGCAGCAUGACGGCCCAUCUAAAACGGAUCUGCUCCUGCCGGGACUGCCUCCGCCCCCUCCCCCGAAUAAAUAAAAAAAAAUAAAAAAAAUUAAACAUUAAA